rnacentral:rRNA from 1 species
GUUAGGUGGCAAGCGUUGUCCGGAAUUAUUGGGCGUAAAGCGCGCGCAGGGCGGUCCUUUAAGUCUGAUGUGAAAGCCCACGGCUCAACCGUGGAGGGUCAUUGGAAACUGGGGGACUUGAGUACAGAAGAGGAAAGCGGAAUUCCAAGUGUAGCGGUGAAAUGCGUAGAGAUUUGGAGGAACACCAGUGGCGAAGGCGGCCUUCUGGUCUGUAACUGACGCUGAGGCGCGAAAGCGUGGGGAGCAAACAGGAUUAGAUACCCUGGUAGUCCACGCCGUAAACGAUGAGUGCUAAGUGUUAGGGGGUUUCCGCCCCUUAGUGCUGCAGCUAACGCAUUAAGCACUCCGCCUGGGGAGUACGGCCGCAAGGCUG